AUGGAAUCCAGCAGGUUCAGCUCCAAGUCCUCUGAGCAGUGCUCACAGAAGCCGCUGUGCAGGAAGUCCUCCCCUCUCCUCACAGGAAGUCCUCCCCCUCCUCACAGGAAGUCCUGUCUCCUCACAGGAAGUCCUCGCCUCUCCUCACAGGAAGUCCUCGCCUCUCCUCACAGGAAGUCCUCUGUCUCCUCACAGGAAGUGCUCCCCUCUCCUCACAGGAAGUCCUCUGUUUCUCCUCACAGGAAGUCCUCCCCCUCCUCACAGGAAGUCCUCUGUCUCUUCACAGGAAGUCCUCUGUCUCCUCACAGGAAGUCCUCCCCACUCCUUACAGGAAGUCCUCCCUUCUCCUCACAGGAAGUGCUCUCCUCCCCUCACAGGAAGUCCUCCCCUCUCCUCACAGGAAGUCCUCUGUCUCCUCACAGGAAGUCCUCUCCUCACAAGAAGUCCUCCGUCUCCUCACAGGAAGUCCUCUGUCUCCUCACAGGAAGUCCUCUCCUCACAGGAAGUCCUCCGUCUCCUCACAGGAAGUCCUCUGUCUCCUCACAGGAAGUCCUCCCCUCUCCUCACAGGAAGUCCUCCGUCUCCUCACAGGAAGUCCUCUCCUCUCCUCACAGGAAGUCCUCCCCUCUCCUCACAGGAAGUCCUCUGUUUCCUCACAGGAAGUCCUCUGAGCAGUGCUCUCAGAAGCCGCUGUGCAGCAGUGGUGGGGGCGGAUCCCAUGGACCAUCUUGGCAGCACUCAGGAACCCGGAGCCGGGUGGUCUCUGAGAGUCGGCUGUGGGUUGUGCCUGCUGGGCACCCUUGUACCUGCUAUUGGAAGGGUGUGAGGCGGGAGCUCGUUGCUACGCAACUGUCUGACCGUGACAGCCACAUGCUGCGUCCCUCCGCACUGGACCGCGCGCUCCUCAAGUGCAGGAAGCCGACUUCCCCAACGUGGGAUCGGCCAGGACCACUCAUGGGUGGGCUGGCAUGCCCAGGAAGUGCCCGGGGCGUGGAUGGAUGGGACAGGCUGGCCCAGGUGUUUUGGAGGGCAGGAGGCUCACUGCACAGUCCUGCCUGGCUGCUCUCUCUCCUGAAAUUCAGGGCUCUGUUGACCCUGGAGAAGAUUCACCGGGGACAACGGUGGCUUCAGCUGUGGACAGCCCCGUGCCGACACUGGAGAACUGUCACCUUCCACUUCCCAGGAGCACAGGUUGGAAAGCGCUGGGAGUGCUGCCUGCUUGCUCUCCGGUUCCCCCUCAGGCUGGCUCAGUUAGCUCAUCUGAACCAACAACACCGAGACCCGAAGGCAGCCACUCCCGCCCAGGGCCUCAGUGCCGGCCGAGGAAUCCGGAGGCUCCAGGCUCCAAGGUCCCUGCGAGGAGCUUCCUACUGGGCGUUACCUCCCGAGGGACCCACACACCUGCACUGCGGGCAGGUGCAGAUUCUCCAGGUCAACUGUGCUGAUCUGGGCCCUCAGACGAGCAGACAGGUGGCACAGGCGCCACCCAGCUCCGCCGGUCCUCUGUCCUGGCACUCGCCCUUCAUCAGGGGCCAAAAGCUGGGUCACCGUCACGUCCCCUCUGUCUCAGCGCAAGGAACCCCGGGGCUGAGUUCUGUGCCGACUGAAGUCGUUCAUCUCAGCUUCCCUUUUCUGCUGAAGUAGUUGUUCUUUGUUCUCGCUCCAGUGGUUUUGGGAUUUAUUGCACCUUUCUUAGCGUCAAUUGCCCCAGACCUUCUCUGGAAAUAGGCCACCUUCUCCCCGGUCCGCUGCAGGGGCUGCCUGUCACGGGGGAGCCGAUCGUGCAGGGACGGAUGACGCAGAGCCCGGGCCGCAGCGCAGAGGCUGACCCGGACCCGCCCUCACACCCACGAGCCUCCGUCUGAUCAGCCGGGAAUGGGGGUGGGACCGAGCUGUCUGUCCUGUCCCGGGUGGUGGACAUAGGAGCCGAGGCCCUGGCGCGCGGCAGUGCAGUGAAUGGGAGGGGCCUUGGGUUUGUUCCGAGCAGGGCUGGUCUCCUGGGUGUGUGACCGAGGGCGUCACGGGGCCCCCCACUCGGCGUUAGGAUGCUGCGGUUGCCAUCCUGAAAUCCUUAGCAGUGUUGUUUGGGGCUUGUGUUUGGGAGGGGAGGUCUGAUGGGGCUGGGGAGGCUGGGCUGGGUGCCUGGGGUGGCUGCUGCCUGCCCACAGCACCGCUGUCCCCAACCCCCACUCGGCACCCGGCGGAGGGCGGGUGGGGAGGGAACCCGCUGAGCUCCAGGCCAGGGCUCUGUCCUGUGCAGUCACCCUGUCCCUGUGCCUGUGCGCUAGGGAGGGCAGCAGAAAGAGUGAAUCAGGCACCGUAGUUGUGGUGCAGUGGGUAAACAGCCGGCUGCGACGCCAGCACCCCAUGCUGCCCUCUGGUCCCUCCUGCUAACACAUCUGGGAAGGCAGAAGAUGGCCCAUGUGUCUGGGCCCCUGCCACCCGCUGGGGAGAGCCGGAUGGAGUCCCAGGCUCCUGGUUUUGGCCUGGCCCAGCCCUGGCCAUUGUGGCCAUCUGGGGAGUGAACCAGCAGAUGGAAGAUCUCCCUCUCCUUCUCUCUUCCUCCCCACCCCUCUCUGUCACUCUGCCUUUCAAAUAAAUGAUGAAUGAAUGAAUGAAUGUUUAAUAGA
rnacentral:lncRNA from 1 species